GACGAACGCUGGCGGCGUGCCUAAUACAUGCAAGUAGAACGCUGAAGAGAGGAGCUUGCUCUUCUUGGAUGAGUUGCGAACGGGUGAGUAACGCGUAGGUAACCUGCCUUGUAGCGGGGGAUAACUAUUGGAAACGAUAGCUAAUACCGCAUAACAAUGGAUGACACAUGUCAUUUAUUUGAAAGGGGCAAUUGCUCCACUACAAGAUGGACCUGCGUUGUAUUAGCUAGUAGGUGAGGUAACGGCUCACCUAGGCGACGAUACAUAGCCGACCUGAGAGGGUGAUCGGCCACACUGGGACUGAGACACGGCCCAGACUCCUACGGGAGGCAGCAGUAGGGAAUCUUCGGCAAUGGGGGCAACCCUGACCGAGCAACGCCGCGUGAGUGAAGAAGGUUUUCGGAUCGUAAAGCUCUGUUGUAAGUCAAGAACGAGUGUGAGAGUGGAAAAUUCACACUGUGACGGUAGCUUACCAGAAAGGGACGGCUAACUACGUGCCAGCAGCCGCGGUAAUACGUAGGUCCCGAGCGUUGUCCGGAUUUAUUGGGCGUAAAGCGAGCGCAGGCGGUUUGAUAAGUCUGAAGUUAAAGGCUGUGGCUCAACCAUAGUUCGCUUUGGAAACUGUCAAACUUGAGUGCAGAAGGGGAGAGUGGAAUUCCAUGUGUAGCGGUGAAAUGCGUAGAUAUAUGGAGGAACACCGGUGGCGAAAGCGGCUCUCUGGUCUGUAACUGACGCUGAGGCUCGAAAGCGUGGGGAGCGAACAGGAUUAGAUACCCUGGUAGUCCACGCCGUAAACGAUGAGUGCUAGGUGUUGGAUCCUUUCCGGGAUUCAGUGCCGCAGCUAACGCAUUAAGCACUCCGCCUGGGGAGUACGACCGCAAGGUUGAAACUCAAAGGAAUUGACGGGGGCCCGCACAAGCGGUGGAGCAUGUGGUUUAAUUCGAAGCAACGCGAAGAACCUUACCAGGUCUUGACAUCCCGAUGCUAUUUCUAGAGAUAGAAAGUUACUUCGGUACAUCGGUGACAGGUGGUGCAUGGUUGUCGUCAGCUCGUGUCGUGAGAUGUUGGGUUAAGUCCCGCAACGAGCGCAACCCCUAUUGUUAGUUGCCAUCAUUCAGUUGGGCACUCUAGCGAGACUGCCGGUAAUAAACCGGAGGAAGGUGGGGAUGACGUCAAAUCAUCAUGCCCCUUAUGACCUGGGCUACACACGUGCUACAAUGGUUGGUACAACGAGUUGCGAGUCGGUGACGGCAAGCUAAUCUCUUAAAGCCAAUCUCAGUUCGGAUUGUAGGCUGCAACUCGCCUACAUGAAGUCGGAAUCGCUAGUAAUCGCGGAUCAGCACGCCGCGGUGAAUACGUUCCCGGGCCU
rnacentral:rRNA from 1 species